rnacentral:snoRNA from 1 species
GGGGAUCUAAAUGAUGCGAAACUCUGAAAGGAAAGCGUCCAAUCUGCGGAUUGUGGCGUUCCAUGACAUUUCUUUCAUAUUGAAUAGGAAGAUCUGAUAGAUUCCU